CGUACAACUUUAUGCUUUUAAAAAUUCAACGCGCGAUCAACGUUGAUCGCAUAAGGUCAAAACGGGAGCAUUCGUUACAUAAUUUGUCACUGAAAUAUGUACGGUACGAAAUCAUCGCGUGGAGAUUUCGGUGAAAUUCAUUUGUGACGUUAAUGCUGAUCGGAGAUCUUGAUUUGUUAUUAAUGUUCGGCUCGAAUGUACCAGCCUUUCUCGUAGGAUUCCACGGCCAUAUACCGACAUUUACAUCGUGUCAUUCAUGUGGCGCGACACGACGUCCUACACUAUACAGUAUAGUCGUACAGUAUGCACGAUCCUUUGGAAAACAAUCUGCUUCCACGAACUAGGGAAAUCGUGUACGCUUAAUAAAUGUAACAAGUUCAUCUAUUCAGCUGUUAGACGCAACUAGGUUCCUGGAAUGUAUACGUCUUUUGAGUGGAAAUCAUCGGAGCGACAAACGAGGACGCGCAAUACCGUGCGCUACUGUUCAGGAUGAAAAGCGAAAUUAGCUCGCCUCAUAAGCAAUACGAUUUUUACGGUAUCGAUCAAGCGCAACUGCCUAACGAGACUGUACACGCAAGUAUGGACAAAUCAUGCAGCUGUCUAUAGCCUGUAGAGUCAGCUGAGAGAAGAUGAGACGAUCAGUUCCGUUAAAAAAAUUUUACGUCCUUCAAAUAUUUGAAACGCCUCCACUUCCGGAGCAAACACAUACCUACACUGCGUAAUCCAUCAUUUGCAAGAAAGAAGUUAUUAAUACACAAUUUUCAUAUUGAAAAUAUGAAAUA